rnacentral:rRNA from 1 species
AUUGAACGCUGGCGGCAUGCCUUACACAUGCAAGUCGAACGGUAACGCGGGGCAACCUGGCGACGAGUGGCGAACGGGUGAGUAAUAUAUCGGAACAUACCUUGUAGUGGGGGAUAACUAUCCGAAAGGAUAGCUAAUACCGCAUACGAUCUAAGGAUGAAAGCGGGGGAUCUUCGGACCUCGUGCUAUAAGAGUGGCCGAUAUCUGAUUAGCUAGUUGGUGAGGUAAAGGCUCACCAAGGCGACGAUCAGUAGCUGGUCUGAGAGGACGACCAACCACACUGGAACUGAGACACGGUCCAGACUCCUACGGGAGGCAGCAGUGGGGAAUUUUGGACAAUGGGGGCAACCCUGAUCCAGCAAUGCCGCGUGAGUGAAGAAGGCCUUCGGGUUGUAAAGCUCUUUUGUCAGGGAAGAAACGGUUGUGGCUAAUAUCCAUGGCUAAUGACGGUACCUGAAGAAUAAGCACCGGCUAACUACGUGCCAGCCGCCGCGGUAACAC